rnacentral:rRNA from 1 species
GACGAACGCUGGCGGCGUGCCUAAUACAUGCAAGUCGAACGAGAGCGCCCGGUGCUUGCACUGGUCAAUCUAGUGGCGAACGGGUGAGUAACACGUGGGUAACCUGCCCAUCAGAGGGGGAUAACAUCCGGAAACGGAUGCUAAAACCGCAUAGGUCUUCGAGCCGCAUGGCUUGAAGAGGAAAAGAGGCGCAAGCUUCUGCUGAUGGAUGGACCCGCGGUGCAUUAGCUAGUUGGUGAGGUGACGGCUCACCAAGGCCGUGAUGCAUAGCCGACCUGAGAGGGUGAUCGGCCACAUUGGGACUGAGACACGGCCCAAACUCCUACGGGAGGCAGCAGUAGGGAAUCUUCCGCAAUGGACGCAAGUCUGACGGAGCAACGCCGCGUGAGUGAAGAAGGUUUUCGGAUCGUAAAACUCUGUUGUUAGAGAAGAACAAGUGCUAGAGUAACUGUUAGCGCCUUGACGGUAUCUAACCAGAAAGCCACGGCUAACUACGUG